CAUUAGACAUGGUAUGAUUUUAGUACCUUAAACAUUUCUUGUUUCUAAUUUUAAUCCUUGGAAAUUUUAUUUUUCAGGGCAAAUUCCAGGGACUAUCUACUAUAAGCCAUCAAGGCAGAAACUAUUCUUUCCCCCAUCACCUCUUAUCUCCCCCACCCAUUGCCUUCUCCCUCACCCAACUCCUUCUUCCCCCAGCAUUGCAUUUCCCCCUUCCUUCCACCCCGAAUCCCAACCCCCACCAUCAUCCACCAAGCCAAAAACUAUUCCCUUGACCAAAACCUCAAAGUACCAAGUAAAACCCUCCAUCGAUCCCUUGUUGUUACCACGCAACUGCAAUGAAUGCUGCAAAAUCAUCGUUUACCUUCGUGAGAUUCACCAUACCUUCAUUUCAACCUGUCAACCUUGAACUAGAGGUACCACAACCAGAGCAUCAUCCCUGAAACCAAAACCAAGAAACACUCACUCACAAUCUCACUCCCAAAACAUCAUUUUUCCUGCAAUAGAACUGGAACAAAUAAACGUUCUCUCCCCAAUCUCACAACCAGAAUCAAAAGAAAAGAAUUGGAAUUGUGGUUCGGUAUUUGAGGCCCACAACCAGUCUCACCCCCAAAAUCAGACAUGCAAUCUCUGGAUGUGCGAGAGAAGAGAGCAUAGGAGAUUGCGCGUUUGAAUUGAAACGCACCGUUUCACUCAACAGGGGAAGAAAAAAAAAGUGGUGCAAUAUUUUUAAAGAAAGAAAAUGGGUUGAAAACCCACGGUUUCUUUCUAAUGUCACUCGAGAGCUAUCCCCCCUCCCUUCUGUCUUCGUUCCAAUCUUCCUCUCUCUCAAAAUCCUUAUCCUUCAAUUAAUACCUUCAUCUUCACCAUUUUUAUUUCAUGCACCAGCUCAACAGUAGAAAAGAGAAAGAAACACUAAUACCUGUUGUAGUUUGAACUUGGAAUUGGGUGGUUAGAAGGUUACACAUAUUUUGGGUUGGGUUAUUUAGAGCUCUUUGAGGUAAACUCUACAACCCAAAGAUUUAAGAAAUUCGUUUUUAUGGCAUGAAUUAGUAGUGGGUACUGUCAUAGUAUAGUAGGAAAUCAAGAGUUUGAUUUUUUUUCAUGAGUUCUCUAAAACCCUAAGUCUCAUAAAUUGGGGGUUUUUAUCUAAUCUCUUUGCUACCCAUUAUUGAUGCUCUGAUUCACAAGGAGGCGUUUCUGUUGGUCCAACGGAAGGUGCAGAAAGGGGUUGAGCUUGCUCUUCAUAGUUAUUCACAAGCAGCUAUGUAGCGGAUUUCUGGGCCUUGCUAAGUUACCCAGGAGUCUUCACUUGUUUUGGUAUGCCUCCAUUGUCCGGUGGCUAGUAUGUUCUUUUUGGUCGACUCCAGUAUGAUGCAGCCAUAGGCAUAGAGAGUCGUUUACUUACUUUGGGUUGUAAUUAUUAAACUCACAAUGUUAGCAGUUUGUUGGGUUUGUACUCUUGAAACCCUAUGAUGGGUGUUAUUUUGUUAUGAUGUAAUAUCUGGUUAUUGGAUAUCUAGAUGUAUGUUAUGACAGGUAUUUAUCAUUUUGAUGAUGAUGAUGUUGAAAAUACAAAGGAAACUCUGUCGAAAUUUCAGUAGAA